GGGGCGGGGCCCGGGCGCCCGCGCAGGUCGGGUCGGCGCGGCAAACAUGGCGGCCUCCAGCUGGGCGCGCAGGGCCGUGGUCUUGUUUUGUGCCGCUGAACUGCUGCUGCUGCUGCUGCUGCUGCUACCGCUACCACCGCCUGGGGCCUGCACGGCCGAAGGCUCGCCCGGGACGCCCGACGAGUCUACCCCACCUCCCCGGAAGAAGAAGAAGGAUAUUCGCGAUUACAAUGAUGCAGACAUGGCGCGUCUUCUGGAGCAGUGGGAGAAAGAUGAUGACAUCGAAGAAGGAGAUCUUCCAGAGCACAAGAGACCCUCGGCGCCUGUGGACUUCUCAAAGAUCGACCCAAGCAAGCCUGAAAGCAUACUGCAGAUGACGAAGAAAGGGAAGACUCUCAUGAUGUUUGUCACCGUAUCAGGAAGCCCCACUGAGAAGGAGACGGAGGAAAUCACGAGCCUCUGGCAGGGCAGCCUUUUCAAUGCGAACUAUGAUGUCCAGAGGUUCAUUGUGGGAUCAGACCGUGCUAUCUUCAUGCUUCGUGAUGGGAGCUACGCCUGGGAGAUCAAGGACUUCUUGGUCAGUCAAGACAGGUGUGCUGAUGUAACUCUGGAGGGCCAGGUGUACCCUGGCAAAGGAGGAGGAAGCAAAGAGAAAAAUAAGACAAAGCAAGACAAGGGCAAAAAGAAGAAGGAAGGCGAUCUGAAAUCUCGGGCUUCCAAGGAGGACAGUCGAGCUGGGAAUAAAAGAGAAGAGCUGUGAUGGGGCAGCAGUGGCGUGCUGGGGAGAGACAUGGACAUGGAGGGCUCCUGGCCCAGCUCGUGGGGUGGGAGUGGUCUCAGGAAACUGCACACCAGAUGACAUUCUAGUUUCUUCUAGAAAGGGUCUACCACGUGACCCGUUUGUGGUCAAAGAAUUACUGUUUAAUAGGUUUCAAGUGAGAAGACAGACGUUUUCUAAUUAAUAUUGCGCACUGACCAAUUCAUGUCUACUAUAAAAUCACCUUACAUGGAAAUGCGACUGUGUGGCUUUUUCCCGUUCACACUUGACCCCUGAGCUCCUUCCAGCACUGCCCGAGGUGCCCUCUACCUGUGUCUGCCUCUCUCGUCUGCCAGUUUGCUUUGGACCCCUUAUGCCCACCUCAGCCCCCAUGCUGCUGUCAAACAUGUGUUUGGCCUCUGGCUAAACAGUGCCUGGGAGGAAGAGAGAGUCCGGCUUCUGCCUGGCUUCCUCAUCUGGGAGGGGAGUUGAAGUGACAGCCUCCUGAUGGCUUAGAAAUGUGGAGGAUGUAGCGUGUUCUGGACAGGGCCAGCCAUAUGAAUGACAUCUCUUUGUUUGAACCAUCCCCCCCCCGUCCCCCGCCGUUAUGGGCACCCUCUUGAGGUGGGGCAAAGGAUGGGCACAACUUGGAAGAUUUUGGCCUUGUGAUCCUCAGUGUCCAGAGUCACCCAGAUGGGCCGGAAGCUGCCUUUGAAGCCAACGAAUGCCAUUUGCUCUGAAAAGCAAUGAAGAGCUUCCUGAGCAAACGCCCCGUGAAAGGACGGCUACCCCACCCUGUUCCAGGGCUCCCAUCACCGGCCCCUGCCUGCACCAGGUACUGUACCCCUCAGCCACACUGCACCGCGGCCCUUUGGGAAGAGCUCUGUGUUCCGCUUCUGCUGGUACCUGACAUGUGUUUGUAUGGGGCGUGUGGGGGCUCACCUGAGCCUCAUGGCCACUAGACAGGGUGAUGGCUUUGCUAUAGACAGGGGAGCCAUGCACAGCAGGAAAUGGGGCGAAGUGUGAGGGAGGUGACUUCCGAGGAACCUGCCUACCUUUGAGCUGCCCCCAGGAUCACCAGCAAGGCCCUGCCCUUCCCUGAAGCCCAGUGUUCCCAUCCAUCAAAUGAUGGCAUUGAUCUACAAGAUCUCCUUCUACUCUCUAUCACUCUGUGGCUUUGAAGGAGUUCUGAGAGGAGAAGGAAUUUGACCAAGAGUGUGGAGCCAACUCGAAGCCCCUGAACCCCACACAGCAUGGCUACUGGGGUCCAUCUUGCAGCUCAGAGCUUGACCAUCCAAGGGGCAUGGGAAUCCACAUCCACACUCAGUCCAUCCUGGCAGGCAACGUGCAUUUAUCACCACCGGGAAAGUGCCAUUCCAACUUGGGUCCCUUUACAUGCAUCGGCUUUUGGCAACCAGGGUCUUAAUUUAAAAGACAGAGGCUCCAAAAUGAUUCCAAGACUUGGCUGGAAAGGAUGCGUCUCUUUUUCCUUAUGUUCUCCUUGGGCUGGUUUGAGGGGUUUGCAUUGCUUCUGGUUUUUCUCGUCACCCCAUAGAUGGGCUUCAGAUUUGGAUAUUUUCCAUAGUGAGGACGGUAUCUAACUAAAAAGCCCAGCUUUGGGUGAAGAAGGUUAGGAUCCAAACCCUCACCUUAAACAAGUGGCUUGGCUGUGAAAUUCUCGGUGUCCUCAUCUUAAAUGGUAAUAGUACCUGCUGCACGGGUUAUUAAUAAGUAUUACUAAUUAAUAAGUAAGUGAGAUACUUAUGUUCUGCAAAGGUGCAAGGCUAACCAUUAAAUAGCAGCCGUCAUGGUCAUGGUCGUCAUUGCCCGUGGAGCUGCUGUGCCUCCCACACAGCCUCCCUGAGGACUCUCCCUGAACCUAGUUUGUGUGAUGAUAAUGGGUGCCAUGCUGACAUGUCCCUCCUGGAUGGCUUCUUCCAGUCCAGCCAGCAAGCCUGUGCUAGGCUUCACCACCGGAGAGCUGCCUGGCCUUGGACAAGCCAUGCAGGUUCUCUGGGUUCUAAUUUUCUUUUCAUCUGCCUAUCUCAGAGGAACACGUGAGCGUUUUGCAAGCUGCCAAGGACCGUCCACAUGCUAGGCAUCAGCUGGGAUGCUGAGGAAGAUGCAGGAGCCCGGCCAGUCUGAAGAGCAGGAACUGGGUAGGAUGGCUGGACUAAGUCACUUUUCUUACGAUACUUUUGAUGGAUAAAGGGCCACCUUCCAAGCAAA